CAAAAGCGUAUAUUAAAGUUGUUGCAGUUAAAAAGCUCGUAGUUGAACCUUGGGCUUGGCUGGCCGGUCCAUCUUUUUUGAUGCGUACUGGACCCAGCCGAGCCUUUCCUUCUGGCUAGCCUUUUGGCGAACCAGGACUUUUACUUUGAAAAAAUUAGAGUGUUCAAAGCAGGCCUUUGCUCGAAUAUAUUAGCAUGGAAUAAUAGAAUAGGACGUUAUGGUUCUAUUUUGUUGGUUUCUAGGACCACCGUAAUGAUUAAUAGGGACGGUCGGGGGUAUCAGUAUUCAGUUGUCAGAGGUGAAAUUCUUGGAUUUACUGAAGACUAACUACUGCGAAAGCAUUUACCAAGGACGUUUUCAUUAA
rnacentral:rRNA from 1 species